UACGAAGGGGGCUAGCGUUGCUCGGAAUUACUGGGCGUAAAGCGCACGUAGGCGGCUUUCUAAGUCGGGGGUGAAAUCCUGGAGCUCAACUCCAGAACUGCCUUCGAUACUGGAGAGCUCGAGUCCGGGAGAGGUGAGUGGAACUCCUAGUGUAGAGGUGGAAUUCGUAGAUAUUAGGAAGAACACCAGUGGCGAAGGCGGCUCACUGGUCCGGUACUGACGCUGAGGUGCGAAAGCGUGGGGAGCAAACAGG
rnacentral:rRNA from 1 species